rnacentral:lncRNA from 1 species
CACAUUUUCUUUGAAAUAUUCAAAAUAUAUUCAAGUUAUUUUCAAAACUGAAGCUCCAAAUGGCCAUUUGUCUUAUAAUGUUAUUUUCUAAUGAAAAUCUUGGCCAUGACAGUGAGUGGUAUUUUAUUGAGGUGUAUGUGUGGUAUGUUCUAGUUGGUAUCACCUAAGUUCAGAAAAGGUGUUGAACACAUCUCUGAAUUUUGCCUGCCAUCUAAUGUAUAUAAAUCUGCUUUUAAUCCCCAAAAAGAAUAUUCAUACUUUGUUUUGUUAGAAAAUUAUCAAAAGUUGGUUGUAGAAAUUCUGUUUAUGAGAACUGUCUAAAACUUGCAAAUCAUCUAUUCCCUUAGACACUUAACUUUAUAUUUAAAUAAUGGACCGCUAAAGUUUGGAAUAGAAUUUUGUUUGCUAAACCAUCCCUUGGGGCUAUAUCUGUAUUAAAUUUGAGAAGGUUUAAUUUUUAGAAAAUCUAACAAGUUUUUACCAUAAGCAUGUUGUCAGAUUUUGCUUAUGAUAUCCCAGUGUCCUUUUUAUGAGGACCAGGAGAGAAGCUUCUUUGAGACUUCAUAUCACAAAUAGCUGGAAUUAACCUAAGAAACUAGUAUCUUUUUACUGUGGGACACUAUGGAACUUACAACUACACUUUUCGCUAUUGUUUGACUGCUAGAAAGAAAAAAGUCAAAUCUGCAAGCCAGUUCUGGCAAAAUUCUUAGAGCAGAUAUUUUUGAUACAAUUUUUACCUCCAACUUUGCUUUCCUCUGUCCUACCCCCAUUCAUCUUCCUCCCUUAUUCACCAUCAAGUUCAAAAUGUGUAUUUUUUGUCAGCUCCUGCUAAUUCUGUCUGGAGUGAGCUGGGAGGUAAUUAACUAGUUAAUAAAUUAAUUACUAGCUACAUUGAGCAACAUGCUUUUUUCUCCUCUUCAGUCCAGUGCUUGCUUUUAUUUACUCCUCUCAUCUAUUCAUGUCUUCUUGUAAUAUGGCUACAGCUUGCCCACCUGCUUCGGCGUGUCUGUCAGGACAAUCUGAUGGGAGUGACCAGUCCCACAAAGCCUGGAACUAGAAGCUGCUGGGCCCUUUCCCAAUGUGGUCACCAACUCAGUUAUCAGCCUUUCUUGAAAGAACAACAUUGAAAUAAAUCCUCAAGGAACAGAGAGAGCCAGUUAACAAGUGAGGUUCCUAGGUGAGGCUGAAGCUGCUGAUUCUGGCACCAUAACUGGAGAAAUACUGGCUGUGAUCCAACAGAGUACUGCAAGUAAAUAAAAUAAAAUAAAGGUAUGUUCA